UACAGAGGUCUCAAGCGUUGUUCGGAUUCAUUGGGCGUAAAGGGUGCGUAGGCGGCGCGGUAAGUCGGGUGUGAAAUCUUGGAGCUUAACUCCGAAACUGCAUUCGAUACUGCCGUGCUUGAGGACUGGAGAGGAGACUGGAAUUUACGGUGUAGCGGUGAAAUGCGUAGAUAUCGGGAGGAACACCUGUGGCGAAAGCGGCUCACUGGACCACAACUGACGCUGAUGCACGAAAGCUAGGGGAGCAAACAGG
rnacentral:rRNA from 1 species